GUGAAUCAUCAAAUUUUUGAACGCAAAUUGCACUCUCCUCGGAGAGUAUGCCUGUUUGAGGGUCAGCCUAUAAAAAAUCGACAUCGUGGCUGUUUCGCGGUGGCGUUCGUCGGAAAUUGGGUCAUCUUAAAUCCUUUUGUUUUAAGCGACUUAAAAUUUUUUUUUGGUUCCUUGAAGGUUUCUAGGAUUUUUUUCUUUACACGUUUAGGUAAUG
rnacentral:misc_RNA from 1 species